rnacentral:rRNA from 1 species
AUUGAACGCUGGCGGCAGGCUUAACACAUGCAAGUCGAGCGGGGUGAUGGUGCUUGCACUAUCACUUAGCGGCGGACGGGUGAGUAAUGCUUAGGAAUCUGCCUAUUAGUGGGGGACAACAUCUCGAAAGGGAUGCUAAUACCGCAUACGUCCUACGGGAGAAAGCAGGGGAUCACUUGUGACCUUGCGCUAGUAGAUGAGCCUAAGUCGGAUUAGCUAGUUGGUGGGGUAAAGGCCUACCAAGGCGACGAUCUGUAGCGGGUCUGAGAGGAUGAUCCGCCACACUGGAACUGGAGCACGGACCAGACUCCGACGGGAGGCAGCAGUGAGGAAUAUUGCGCAAUGGGGGCAACCCUGACGCAGCGACGCCGCGUGGAUGAUGAAGGCCUUCGGGUCGUAAAAUCCUGUCAGGUGGAAAGAAAUGUUUAUGUGCUAAUACCAUGUAGACUUGACGGUACCACCGAAGGAAGCACCGGCUAACUCCGUGCCAGCCGCCGCCGUAA